ensembl:lncRNA
CAUGGAAAAAAGAUAAGCUAAAGCCUUGAGAUUUAGCAUUUGAUCAUUAGUACUGCCUCUAAACUAAGAUUUUAGCCAAACUAUUCCACCUUCAUUAGGUCUCAUUUUCCUUAUCUUUUAAAAAUAAGGAUUUUUUUGAUUGAUGAGUGGUCUGGUUUUAUAAAAGUACUUAGCAAUUAUAAUAUAUAUCUGAAUAAUCUUGUAAUAUAUAUCUGAAUAAUCUUGUAAUCCCUCGAAGAAGGCAGUGGCACCCCACUCCAGUGUUCUUGCCUGGAGAAUCCCAGGGACAGGGGAGCCUGGUGGGCUGCCGUCUAUCGGGUCGCACAGAGUCGGACACGACUGAAGCGACUUAGCAGCAGCAGCAGCAGCAAUCUUGUAAUCCCUACCUUAAAAUAAAUAUUUUUCUAUAGAUGAUAAAAUUUCUAAAUUUAUCAGUUAGGUCAUCUAGUACAUGAAUUAAAAAUUUCAUGAUAUAGAUUUUGUCUUAUCACACUAAAGCAUCAUAAUGCACUUUUACCCCACAGAAAGUUUGUAUUGGAAAAUAAGAACAUAGUGGUACAAUCUCUUAACUUUGAGAGAAGUACCAAGUUAGAGUCAAAAUGAAUUAUUCCUUUUUUCUGCUGUGUGGUUCUGUAGGUUGAGGUUGAGAGCAGGCAGGCUGGAAAAGUGCCCUAGGGUGAAUGAAAGGUGGUAUGUUAAUAAAUAAAUGGGCAUGAUACUUCCCAAGUUUAGACAAUACUCAUGUUAAAUGAGAAUUCUAAGUCUGGAUGUAUCCUUGUGGAAAUCUAGAACAGAUAUGAGUCAGAUAUCAUAUGGGAUUAAUAUGUUAUAAAAUAAUAUAUAAAGUAUUGAUCCUCCUGAAUCACUCUCAUUUUCAGGUCAUUAGGAAUUUUGUUGGGAUAAUCCUCCAAAUGAAUUUGAAGCAUUCUAUUCAAAUGGUUAUUUAUCAUUAAAAUGGCAUUGUAAAGUGAUGACUCAGAAGUUAACAGAGUUUGUGGCUGCUUCUGAGAAAGAAAACUCUUGAUGUCAGGUUCUGAAAAGUGAAGAGAAUGAAAUACAGAAUAUGGUAAGUGACUUGCAGAUAAACUAUUUCAGCCUCAUCUCAUCUUAUGCUCCAUUGUGCAGUUAUCAUUUGUAAGGUGUAUACAUAUAAAUGCAUACUUGUGGUAGUCACUGUUGCAAUCAGUUGUAAAAUAUGACCACAGUUGAAUCAAACUCCGUCUUCUCCUUUACAUUUAUUUGGAUAAACUUGAUGUAACAGACACUUGGCUAUCAAACAUGACAGGAGAUUUUUACUCUGAUUUUUAACUGGGGAAAAUUCGAGAUGGUUUGUAAGAUUGGGACACUCAUAUUUGUGCUUUGGUAACUGUGGAGUUAUAUGAGAUAAUGUUUAGGGUCAAGAUCUUGCUUUACAAAAGAGCAAAGACAUCAAUUUCUUAAAAUCUGGUUAUACUUGUUAUUCAAACUAUUCAACAUUGACAUGCAGCAGUUAAAAUAUAUAUAUAUAUGUGUGUGUUGAUGCUUACAAGGCUUGUUAAAAAGUAGUUUACAAAAAGCAAGUUGGUUUUACUGAGUUUAUAGAACCCCUAGUGUUUGGGGUUAUUCUCUUUUCUUGUUGUGUUUUCUAUAAUGAGUGAAGGUCCUUUCCUCAUUCUAUUCAGAAGAUACUCUGUGGGGCUUCUUAAUGGAUGAGUUAUAGGGGGUUGAAAGAACGAAGGAAAGACAGAGGAAGAGUGUUGCAGAGCCAUUUCUGGAGCAUGCGUAGAGACAUGCUGACGCUCUGUGCUCUCCUCAGUCCUCACCAUCCCACCCCACCCAAAGCCCAGUGAAUUUGUCCAUGCUCAUGGUGACAGCAGCAUGAACUAGAUUUUUCCUGGGAUAGUUUCCUAGAAACUACCAAUUGAUCUCAUUUUAUUUAGUUAGGGUCAUUCUUUUAGACUAGAAUUUCUUAAAUCAGGAUCAGAGAGUAAGCUUUAUAUAAGGUUAUUAGCAAUCCCUCUGAAAUAAUAUGUAGUAUACUGUAUGUAUAUUCUUUUAUCCUGUGGAGAUGAUCAAUAGGUUUUUAUCAAUUUUUUAAAGGAUCUUGAUGACACAAAAAGUUUUUAUCUAGCAUGGUUCUAUUAAUUUACAACAGUUGUGAUUAAAUAAUUU